rnacentral:misc_RNA from 1 species
AUACAAGGCUGAAUAUCCAAUUUUUCAAAAGGUUCGCGUCAACGGGCCAAAUACAGCUCCUGUCUACAGAUUUCUCAAGGCGAGUAAAUUUGGAAUUAUGGGGUCCAGUAUAAAGUGGAAUUUUACCAAGUUUUUAGUCAAUAAGGAAGGGCAAGUCAUUGCUCGCUAUGGCACGACCACCACUCCUUUGUCCAUUGAGGCUGAUAUCAAGAAAGCAUUGGAAAUAGAGUGAGAAAUAUGCCACUAACAGAUUCAGUAAAAGCUUAAUCAAAAAACGUAAAGCUUUUAAAUGGGUAUGCUAUUCUCCUAUCGAGUUAGUUAUUGUAUAUUAUCAAUCAGUGACUCUUAUUUAUGGCAUUCAGUUUGCACGUUGGAGAAUAAAAGUGUAAGAGAUUGUUGUAGAUAGAUAGUUUGUUUCUUUGCUGUUCCUAUUGAUUUUUUUUUUUUUAAUUAAUAUUGACACAUCUACAUGUAUUUUUCUGGUUGAGAGAUUUUCCAGCAUGUAAAUGUCAAUUUUUCUGUCCUGAGCUAUUAGGUGUGGUUGCAUAAGAAAUUGUUUUUGAUGGCGAUUGCAACCAGUUGCCCCCUUCAAUCGUUCUGGCGAAUCAGGCUAUGAGAGACCAUGAGAUCUGCAGAUAGGGUGGCCAUGUGCCUGUUUUGGCUAGUGGCCUAAGAGGGACCUGAAACGAAUUGAGAGGGCUCGGUUUCCUAUGAUUUUGAUUUAGUUCUAGACUAAUUCAAGGACGGUUCCAGAUGAUUUAGAUUGAAGUCAUCCAAUGUAGGGGAGAAAUCAUAAUUGGCCCUCUCUUCCUGAUUUCGAACCAGCUCGAGCCCUUAAAAACCGUUGAAGGAUUCCAAAUCCAAACCGGUUCUCGGCCACCCAUAUCUGCAUUUUCUGAUAGGCUCAGUGGUAUGGGA